GGGCACAUGGUGUAGUUGGUUAUCACGCCCGCUUAGCAUUCAAGGGCCUGUAGACGAAGUUUGCGGGCGGUCCCCGGUUCAAUUCCGGGUGUGUCCA